GGGUUGUGAGGUUAAGCGACUAAGCGUACACGGUGGAUGCCCUGGCAGUCAGAGGCGAUGAAGGACGUGCUAAUCUGCGAUAAGCGUCGGUGAGGUGAUAUGAACCGUUAUAACCGGCGAUUUCCGAAUGGGGAAACCCAGUGUGWUUCGWCACACUAUCAUUAACUGAAUCCAUAGGUUAAUGAGGCGAACCGGGGGAACUGAAACAUCUAAGUACCCCGAGGAAAAGAAAUCAACCGAGAUUCCCCCAGUAGCGGCGAGCGAACGGGGAGGAGCCCAGAGCCUGAAUCAGUGUGUGUGUUAGUGGAAGCGUCUGGAAAGGCGCGCGAUACAGGGUGACAGCCCCGUACACAAAAAUGCACAUGCUGUGAGCUCGAUGAGUAGGGCGGGACACGUGGUAUCCUGUCUGAAUAUGGGGGGACCAUCCUCCAAGGCUAAAUACUCCUGACUGACCGAUAGUGAACCAGUACCGUGAGGGAAAGGCGAAAAGAACCCCGGCGAGGGGAGUGAAAAAGAACCUGAAACCGUGUACGUACAAGCAGUGGGAGCCUCUUAAUGGGGUGACUGCGUACCUUUUGUAUAAUGGGUCAGCGACUUAUAUUCUGUAGCAAGGUUAACCGAAUAGGGGAGCCGAAGGGAAACCGAGUCUUAACUGGGCGUUAAGUUGCAGGGUAUAGACCCGAAACCCGGUGAUCUAGCCAUGGGCAGGUUGAAGGUUGGGUAACACUAACUGGAGGACCGAACCGACUAAUGUUGAAAAAUUAGCGGAUGACUUGUGGCUGGGGGUGAAAGGCCAAUCAAACCGGGAGAUAGCUGGUUCUCCCCGAAAGCUAUUUAGGUAGCGCCUCGUGAAUUCAUCUCCGGGGGUAGAGCACUGUUUCGGCAAGGGGGUCAUCCCGACUUACCAACCCGAUGCAAACUGCGAAUACCGGAGAAUGUUAUCACGGGAGACACACGGCGGGUGCUAACGUCCGUCGUGAAGAGGGAAACAACCCAGACCGCCAGCUAAGGUCCCAAAGUCAUGGUUAAGUGGGAAACGAUGUGGGAAGGCCCAGACAGCCAGGAUGUUGGCUUAGAAGCAGCCAUCAUUUAAAGAAAGCGUAAUAGCUCACUGGUCGAGUCGGCCUGCGCGGAAGAUGUAACGGGGCUAAACCAUGCACCGAAGCUGCGGCAGCGACACUAUGUGUUGUUGGGUAGGGGAGCGUUCUGUAAGCCUGUGAAGGUGGCCUGUGAGGGUUGCUGGAGGUAUCAGAAGUGCGAAUGCUGACAUAAGUAACGAUAAAGCGGGUGAAAAGCCCGCUCGCCGGAAGACCAAGGGUUCCUGUCCAACGUUAAUCGGGGCAGGGUGAGUCGACCCCUAAGGCGAGGCCGAAAGGCGUAGUCGAUGGGAAACAGGUUAAUAUUCCUGUACUUGGUGUUACUGCGAAGGGGGGACGGAGAAGGCUAUGUUGGCCGGGCGACGGUUGUCCCGGUUUAAGCGUGUAGGCUGGUUUUCCAGGCAAAUCCGGAAAACCAAGGCUGAGGCGUGAUGACGAGGCACUACGGUGCUGAAGUGACAAAUGCCCUGCUUCCAGGAAAAGCCUCUAAGCAUCAGGUAACAUCAAAUCGUACCCCAAACCGACACAGGUGGUCAGGUAGAGAAUACCAAGGCGCUUGAGAGAACUCGGGUGAAGGAACUAGGCAAAAUGGUGCCGUAACUUCGGGAGAAGGCACGCUGAUAUGUAGGUGAAGCGACUUGCUCGUGGAGCUGAAAUCAGUCGAAGAUACCAGCUGGCUGCAACUGUUUAUUAAAAACACAGCACUGUGCAAACACGAAAGUGGACGUAUACGGUGUGACGCCUGCCCGGUGCCGGAAGGUUAAUUGAUGGGGUUAGCGGUAACGCGAAGCUCUUGAUCGAAGCCCCGGUAAACGGCGGCCGUAACUAUAACGGUCCUAAGGUAGCGAAAUUCCUUGUCGGGUAAGUUCCGACCUGCACGAAUGGCGUAAUGAUGGCCAGGCUGUCUCCACCCGAGACUCAGUGAAAUUGAACUCGCUGUGAAGAUGCAGUGUACCCGCGGCAAGACGGAAAGACCCCGUGAACCUUUACUAUAGCUUGACACUGAACAUUGAGCCUUGAUGUGUAGGAUAGGUGGGAGGCUUUGAAGUGUGGACGCCAGUCUGCAUGGAGCCGACCUUGAAAUACCACCCUUUAAUGUUUGAUGUUCUAACGUUGGCCCCUAAUCGGGGUUGCGGACAGUGUCUGGUGGGUAGUUUGACUGGGGCGGUCUCCUCCUAAAGAGUAACGGAGGAGCACGAAGGUUGGCUAAUCCUGGUCGGACAUCAGGAGGUUAGUGCAAUGGCAUAAGCCAGCUUGACUGCGAGCGUGACGGCGCGAGCAGGUGCGAAAGCAGGUCAUAGUGAUCCGGUGGUUCUGAAUGGAAGGGCCAUCGCUCAACGGAUAAAAGGUACUCCGGGGAUAACAGGCUGAUACCGCCCAAGAGUUCAUAUCGACGGCGGUGUUUGGCACCUCGAUGUCGGCUCAUCACAUCCUGGGGCUGAAGUAGGUCCCAAGGGUAUGGCUGUUCGCCAUUUAAAGUGGUACGCGAGCUGGGUUUAGAACGUCGUGAGACAGUUCGGUCCCUAUCUGCCGUGGGCGCUGGAGAACUGAGGGGGGCUGCUCCUAGUACGAGAGGACCGGAGUGGACGYAUCACUGGUGUUCGGGUUGUCAUGCCAAUGGCACUGCCCGGUAGCUAAAUGCGGAAGAGAUAAGUGCUGAAAGCAUCUAAGCACGAAACUUGCCCCGAGAUGAGUUCUCCCUGAGACUUAGAGUCUCCUGAAGGAACGUUGAAGACGACGACGUUGAUAGGCCGGGUGUGUAAGCGCAGCGAUGCGUUGAGCUAACCGGUACUAAUGAACCGUGAGGCUUAACCUUACAACGCCGAAG
rnacentral:rRNA from 1 species